GACGAACGCUGGCGGCGUGCUUAACACAUGCAAGUCGAACGAAGUGGCGAACGGGUGAGUAAGGCGUAAUCAACUUGCCAUUCAGAGGGGGACAACAGGUGGAAACGACGACUAAGACCGCAUACGGAGGGAGGGGAUGGGGUCUGAUUGGCGAGUUGGAGGGGUAACGGCCCACCAAGGCGAGGAGUAGUAGCCGGUCUGGGAGGAUGAACGGCCACAUUGGGACUGAGAACCGGCCCAGACUCCUACGGGAGGCAGCAGUGGGGAAUCUUCCGCCAUGGGCGGAAGUCUUAAGGAGCAACGCCGCGUGAGUGAUGGCGGCCUUCGGGUUGUAAAGCUCUGUUAAUCGGGACGCGGUACCGGAAUAGAAAGCCACGGCUAACUACGUGCCAGCCGCCGCGGUAAUUC
rnacentral:rRNA from 1 species